rnacentral:rRNA from 1 species
UUUUUCUUUUUUGGGAUAAAGUUGUACCAGGUUUCGGUGGGGAACAGCGGAGGGAUCAUUAAAGAGAGCCCUAAAAACUCCCAAACCAAUGUGAACCCUACCUUUACGGGGGUGGCCCGAGAGGCCCCCCCCGGCGUUGCUCCGGCGCCCCGGUCACGGGGCGCCGGAGGUCAAAAACUCUUUUUUGUAACAAGUUAUCUCUGAGGCCUAACGGCAACUAUAACAACUUUCAACAACGGAUCUCUUGGCUCUGGCAUCGAUGAAGAACGCAGCGAAAUGCGAUAAGUAUUGUGAAAUUGCAGAAUCCAGUGAAUCAUCGAAUCUUUGAACGCACAUUGCGCCCGCCGGUAUUCCGGCGGGCAUGCCUGUUCGAGCGUCAUUUCAACCCUCAAGCCCUGCUUGGUGUUGGGACCUCCGCCUAACCGGAGGGGGUCCUCAAAUCUAUAGGCGGGUCUCCUCGGCUCCAAACGCAGUAAUCUCUCUCGUUUGGUCGUCGAGGGGCUCCUCGCCUGCUAAACAUUACCUACAAAAUAACAGGUUGACCUCGGAUCAGGUAGGAAUACCCGCUGAACUUAAGCAUAUCAAUAAGCGGAGGAAAAGAAACCAACAGGGAUUGCCUCAGUAACGGCGAGUGAAGCGGCAACAGCUCAAAUUUGAAAUCUGGCCCUCGGGUCCGAGUUGUAAUUUGCAGAGGAUGCUUCGGGCGAGGCUUUGAUCGAGUCCCCUGGAAUGGGGCGCCACAGAGGGUGAGAGCCCCGUAUGAUCAGCCGCCGAACCCGUGUGAAGCUCCUUCGACGAGUCGAGUAGUUUGGGAAUGCUGCUCUAAAAUGGGAGGUAAAUUUCUUCUAAAGCUAAAUACCGGGCCAGAGAACCGAUAGCGCACAAAGUAGAGUGAUCGAAAGAUGAAAAGCACUUUUGAAAAAGAGAGUUAAAAAGCACGUGAAAUUUGUUUGAAAGGGAAGCGCCUAUGACCAGACUCGAGCUCUUGGGAAUCAUCCCGCCCUUUCUGGGCGGGUGCACUCCCUUCGUUUCUCGGGCCAGCAUCGGUUUCUUCCUCGGGGGGAUAAAGGCGCCAGGAACGUGGCUUCCCUUCGGGGAGUGUUAUAGCCUGGCGCGUCAUGCUUCCCGGGGGAACCCGAGGAACCGCGCUUCGGCUGGAUUGGGCAUAAUGGUUCCCGGGCAACCUUUGUAAAAAACGGAAAAAAA